CCAACAGGGAUUGCCUUAGUAGCGGCGAGUGAAGCGGCAAAAGCUCAAAUUUGAAAUCUGGUACUUUCAGUAUCCGAGUUGUAAUUUGUAGAAGCAACUUUGGUGAUGGUCUUUGCAUAAGUUCCUUGGAAUAGGACGUCAUAGAGGGUGAGAAUCCCGUAUAUGGUGAAGAACCCACACUAUGUAAAGUGCUUUCGAAGAGUCGAGUUGUUUGGGAAUGCAGCUCAAAGUGGGUGGUAAAUUCCAUCUAAAGCUAAAUAUUGGCGAGAGACCGAUAGCGAACAAGUACUGUGAAGGAAAGAUGAAAAGAACUUUGAAAAGAGAGUGAAAAAGUACGUGAAAUUGUUGAAAGGGAAGGGAUCUAAAUCAGACAUGGUAUUUUGUGAUCAACAGUCUUUCGGGAUUGUGCACUCGCAUUUUACUAGGCCAGCAUCGGUUAGAAGGGGGUAAAAAAGAUUUUGGAAUGUGGCUCCUCGGAGUGUUAUAGCCAAAGUUAAUUGCCCCAUUUCUGACCGAGGACCGCGUCUUUUGACUAGGAUGCUGGCGUAAUGGUUUUGAUCC
rnacentral:rRNA from 1 species